CCUACCCCUAGAAGCAUUGCAGGUGUGGCUGCUGUGUCACAUGUGUGCCAGCAGGUGGCAGAGAGGAGAGAGGCUGUGCCUGUGCUCAGUAUUCUGACCUGUGAACAUCUGAAUGAUUAAUAACCUAACAUU